CGGGAUAUUAUUGGGCUUAAGUGUCCGUAGCCGGUUUAGUAAGUUCCUGGUAAAAUCGGGUAGCUUAACUAUCUAUAUGCUAGGAAUACUGCUAUACUAGAGGGCGGGCGAGGUCUGAGGUACUACAGGGGUAGGGGUGAAAUCUUAUAAUCCUUGUAGGACCACCAGUGGCGAAGGCGUCAGACUGGAACGCGCCUGACGGUGAGGGACGAAAGCCAGGGGAGCGAACCGGAUUAGAUACCCGGGUAGUCCUGGCCGUAAACGAUGCAUACUAGGUGAUGGUACGGCCAUGAGCCGUAUCAGUGCCGUAGGGAAACCGUUAAGUGUGCCGCCUGGGAAGUACGGUCGCAAGGCUAAAACUUAAAGGAGUUGGCGGGGGAGCACCACAAGGGGUGAAGCCUGCGGUUCAAUUGGACUCAACGCCGGGAAACUUACCAGGGGAGACAGCAGUAUGACGGUCAGGUUGACGACCUUACCCGACGAGCUGAGAGGAGGUGCAUGGCCGUCGCCAGUUCGUGCCGUGAGGUAUCCUGUUAAGUCAGGCAACGAACGAGAUCCGCGCCUUUAUUUGCCAACAAGAAGUCACGACUUCGUUGGGAACACUAAAGGGACCGCCGUCGAUAAGACGGAGGAAGGAGCGGGCAAAGGCAGGUCAGUAUGCCCCGAAACCCCUGGGCUACACGCGGGCUGCAAUGGUAUGAACAAUGGGCUGUGACUCCGAAAGGAGAAACCAAUCCCGAAAUCAUAUCUCAGUUGGAAUUGUCGGCUGUAACCCGCCGACAUGAACGUGGAAUCCCUAGUAAUCGUGUGUCAUCAUCGCACGGUGAAUACGUCUCUGCUCCUUG
rnacentral:rRNA from 1 species